rnacentral:rRNA from 1 species
UACGGAGGGUGCGAGCGUUGUCCGGAAUCACUGGGCGUAAAGGGCGCGUAGGCGGCCUGAUAAGUAGGGGGUGAAAUCCUGCGGCUUAACCGCAGGGCUGCCCUCUAAACUGUCAGGCUAGAGCACGGUAGAGGCAGAUGGAAUUCCCGGUGUAGCGGUGGAAUGCGUAGAGAUCGGGAAGAACAUCAGUGGCGAAGGCGGUCUGCUGGGCCGUUGCUGACGCUGAGGCGCGACAGCGUGGGGAGCAAACAGG